GGGACACUAGUAAACACAUUACAUAGCACUGUCAGCGCUAAAUCAUAGGAACCCCCCCUUUGUGCCCCC
rnacentral:tRNA from 1 species